rnacentral:rRNA from 1 species
AUUGAACGCUGGCGGCAUGCCUUACACAUGCAAGUCGAACGGUAACGGGCCUUCGGGUGCCGACGAGUGGCGAACGGGUGAGUAAUGCAUCGGAACGUACCUUUCAGUGUGGGAUAACGUAGCGAAAGUUACGCUAAUACCGCAUAUUCUGUGAGCAGGAAAGCAGGGGAUCGCAAGACCUUGCGCUGAUUGAGCGGCCGAUGUCAGAUUAGCUAGUUGGUGAGGUAAAGGCUCACCAAGGCGACGAUCUGUAGCGGGUCUGAGAGGAUGAUCCGCCACACUGGAACUGAGACACGGUCCAGACUCCUACGGGAGGCAGCAGUGGGGAAUUUUGGACAAUGGGGGGCAACCCUGAUCCAGCCAUGCCGCGUGAGUGAAGAAGGCCUCGG